rnacentral:rRNA from 1 species
GACGAACGCUGGCGGCGUGCCUAAUACAUGCAAGUCGAACGCUUCUUUCCUCCCGAGUGCUUGCACUCAAUUGGAAAGAGGAGUGGCGGACGGGUGAGUAACACGUGGGUAACCUACCCAUCAGAGGGGGAUAACACUUGGAAACAGGUGCUAAUACCGCAUAACAGUUUAUGCCGCAUGGCAUAAGAGUGAAAGGCGCUUUCGGGUGUCGCUGAUGGAUGGACCCGCGGUGCAUUAGCUAGUUGGUGAGGUAACGGCUCACCAAGGCCACGAUGCAUAGCCGACCUGAGAGGGUGAUCGGCCACACUGGGACUGAGGCACGGCCCAGACUCCUACGGGAGGCAGCAGUAGGGAAUCUUCGGCAAUGGACGAAAGUCUGACCGAGCAACGCCGCGUGAGUGAAGAAGGUUUUCGGAUCGUAAAACUCUGUUGUUAGAGAAGAACAAGGACGUUAGUAACUGAACGUCCCCUGACGGUAUCUAACCAGAAAGCCACGGCUAACUACGUG